GCGCCGGAAGUGAGGCAAGCGGGAGCAGCCGGCGGCUGGUCGGCGCCCAGUGCUGGCCUGGCGGAGAUAGAGAUCCGGCGGGCGGGGAGAAGGAAAGGGGGUAGCCGGGCGGCCGCCCAAGUCGGGGAAGGGGUGGCCAGGCAGGCCGGGGGUUACGGUGGUCUGCGAGCCUCGGCCCCCUCAGUCGUGGAAGCCCCGCAAGGCAUUGGCGUCUCUGAGCCCCCGCUUCCUUUUCUGUAUGAAGUAGGAUGUGCCUCAUCUCGCACGGGGUUCUUAGUAUCACCUCGUGCUUGCUCCGUGGCGCAGAACCUCCCCAGCAGUCCGAGGUGGAAGCAUUGUCCUCCGCACUUCACAGACGAACGGAGAAGAGCGGAAGGAAGAAAGGUGAGGUGGGACACUCACCUUCCAGCCACACUGAGCAGCCAUCCAGAAACAAGGUGGCCGGAUACUGGGAAGUAAGGGCCAGCAAUGAGUACUUCCCGUUGCUCUUCCGAUGUGUGUCUGGGCUCCUCACUGCACAGCUUACAUCUGAAGGACGUGCGCAGCGAUGUGUGUCACCUACUGUGAUCACCUGAGAGAGCUUGCACAAGCAGAGGAAAAGAAAGAGAAGCAGACUCCCCG